GGUUCCUUCGUCUAUCGGCUAGGACACAAGAUUCUCAAUCUUGGAAGACGGGUUCGAUUCCCGUAGGAACCG
rnacentral:tRNA from 1 species